rnacentral:lncRNA from 1 species
AAAAAGAAGAAUGACCCUGAUGGAAAAAAUAGAAUGUAGCUGAUGGAAUAUAUAUGGUAUUUGAACCUAUACGGUUCGAUCAAUGGGAUGAUGAUGGUACUGUGACUCUUAAUCGAAUGAAAAUAGAAAGCCUGCUUACUUUGUUUUAAAUUCUAUGAAAUAGAAUGACCCGUUGGAAAAAUAGCAUAACCCUGAUGGAAAAAAUAAAAUGUCAUGGAUGAAAAAUAUAUGGUAUAUGAACCUAUACGGUUCGAUAAAUGGGAGGAUGAUGUUGCUGUGACCCUUAAUCGUAUGAAAAUAGAAAGCCUACUUUGUUAUAAAUUCUAUGAAAUAGAAUGACCGAUGGAAAAAAUAGAAUGUCCCUGAUGGAAAAAAUAGAAUGACCCUGAUGGAACAAAUAGAAUGUACCUGAUGGAAAAUAUAUGGUAUUUGAACCUAUACGGUUCGAUAAAUAGGAUGAUGGUAUUGUGACUCUUAUUCGAAUGAAAAUAGAAAGUCUGCUGCCUACUUUGUUUUAAAUUCUAUGAAAUAGAAUGACCCGAUGGAAAAAUAGCAUGACACUGAUGGAAAAAAUAUAAUGUCGCCGAUGUAAAAUAUAUGGUAUGUGAACCUAUAUGGUUCGAUAAAUUGGAGGAUGAUGUUGCUGUGACCCUUAAUCGAAUGAAAAUAGAAAGCCUACUUUGUUAUAAAUUCUAUGAUAUAGAACGACCUGAUGGAAAAAAUAGAAUAACCCUUAUAGAAAAAAUAGAAUGUCCC